rnacentral:rRNA from 1 species
CAGCAGCCACGGUAAUACGGAGGGUGCAAGCGUUAUCCGGAUUUAUUGGGUUUAAAGGGUCCGUAGGCGGAUCUGUAAGUCAGUGGUGAAAUCUCACAGCUUAACUGUGAAACUGCCAUUGAUACUGCAGGUCUUGAGUAAAUUUGAAGUGGCUGGAAUAAGUAGUGUAGCGGUGAAAUGCAUAGAUAUUACUUAGAACACCAAUUGCGAAGGCAGGUCACUAAGAUUUAACUGACGCUGAUGGACGAAAGCGUGGGGAGCGAACAGGAUUAGAUACCCCUGUAGUCCCUGUCUCUUAUAC